rnacentral:rRNA from 1 species
AGCUCCAAUAGCGUAUAUUAAAGUUGCUGCAGUUAAAAAGCUCGUAGUUGGAUCUCGGGGUACCUGGUCUAGCCGGUAUAGCUCACGCUAAAACUGGUCUGACCCCCCAACGUGAGGUAUUCGUCUCCGGGUGCACUUCAUUGGGUGCUCGUGAGGGGCCUCGUAGUUACUGUGAAAAAAUUAGAGUGUUCAAAGCAGGCUCAUAUGUUCGGAUAGUCGUGCAUGGAAUAACUGAAUACGGGACCGGGGCCUUUCAGGUGGUCUCGGCGGCUUGGCAAAUGAAUAAGAGGGACUGCCGGGGGCAUUUGGAAGGCGGGGUUAGAGGUGAAAUUCUUGGAUCCUCGCCAGACCAACAAAAGCGAAAGCAUUUGCCAAGAAUGUCUUCA